rnacentral:rRNA from 1 species
UACGGGGGGGGCAAGCGUUGUUCGGAAUUACUGGGCGUAAAGGGCUCGUAGGUGGCCAACUAAGUCAGACGUGAAAUCCCUCGGCUUAACCGGGGAACUGCGUCUGAUACUGGAUGGCUUGAGUUUGGGAGAGGGAUGCGGAAUUCCAGGUGUAGCGGUGAAAUGCGUAGAGAUAUGGAGGAACACCAGUGGCGAAGGCGACUUUCUGGUCUGUAACUGACACUGAGGCGCGAAAGCGUGGGGAGCAAACAGG